rnacentral:rRNA from 1 species
GCAAGUCGAGCGCGCCCUUCGGGGUGAGCGGCGGACGGGUUAGUAACGCGUGGGAACAUGCCCUUUACUAAGGAAUAGCCUCGGGAAACUGAGAGUAAUACCUUAUACGCCCUUUGGGGGAAAGAUUUAUCGGAGAAGGAUUAGCCCGCGUUAGAUUAGGUAGUUGGUGGGGUAAUGGCCUACCAAGCCUACGAUCUAUAGCUGGUUUGAGAGGAUGAUC